UAAUUUUCCAAACUUUGGAGGAGCCAUGUAAUCCUGCCUCUGAUUUCAAAAAGAGAAUAAAAUUGCAGAUGCGUCAAACAUAAAACAAAUAAAGAUCAACCAUGAGCUCUUCCUUAUGAGUUCAUCUCCAUUUUCUAGGUGAAUGGUGACGUAUAUAUAGAGAAAGAAAAAAACUAAUCAGAGCAGUUUUUGCAUGGAAAUAAAAUGGGCAGUGGUAGAGUUUUUAUACAUGGAAAGAAUUAAACAAAUAAAUAUUUCUGCUGCAGAAUCGUGCUGCAAUUAAUGGAGAUUUGCAUUCUCUUCUUCUCUUAGUAUCUG
rnacentral:misc_RNA from 1 species